rnacentral:rRNA from 1 species
CCUACGGGAGGCAGCAGUUAGGAAUAUUGGGCAAUGGAGGAAACUCUGACCCAGCAACGCCGCGUGAAGGAAGAAGGUUUUCGGAUUGUAAACUUCUGAUCUGUGGGACGAAGAAAGUGACGGUACCACAGGAGAAAGCCACGGCUAACUACGUGCCAGCAGCCGCGGUAAUACGUAGGUGGCGAGCGUUAUCCGGAUUUAUUGGGUUUAAAGGGUGCGUAGGCGGGUUAUCAAGUCAGCGGUAAAAUCGUGGAGCUCAACUCCAUCCAGCCGUUGAAACUGAUGAUCUUGAGUGGGCGAGAAGUAUGCGGAAUGCGUGGAGUAGCGGUGAAAUGCAUAGAUAUCACGCAGAACUCCGAUUGCGAAGGCAGCAUACCGGCGCCCGACUGACGCUGAAGCACGAAAGCGUGGGUAUCGAACAGGAUUAGAUACCCGUGUAGUC